GUGGGCUACGGCGACAUGGUCCCAACAACCAUUGGGGGGAAGAUCGUCGGGUCUCUCUGCGCAAUCGCUGGCGUGCUGACGAUUGCGCUGCCCGUGCCCGUCAUCGUCUCAAAC
rfam:Tetraodon nigroviridis chromosome 9 SCAF14991, whole genome shotgun sequence.